rnacentral:rRNA from 1 species
GACGAACGCUGGCGGCGUGCUUAAUACAUGCAAGUCGAGCGUGAAAGUGGGGCAACCCAUGAGUAAAGCGGCGCACGGGUGAGGAACACGUAGAUUAUCUGCCCUUGAGAUCGAGAUAACCCCGGGAAACUGGGGCUAAUACCGGAUGACGCAUCAUUAUUGGAUUGAUGAUGUUAAAGUGGCGCAAGUCACACUUGAGGAUGAGUCUGCGACCUAUCAGCUAGUUGGCGGGGUAAAGGCCCACCAAGGCGAAGACGGGUAGCUGAUCUGAGAGGAUGAUCAGCCACACUGGGACUGAGACACGGCCCAGACUCCUACGGGAGGCAGCAGUAGGGAAUAUUGCGCAAUGGGGGGCAACCCUGACGCAGCGACGCCGCGUGAGUGAUGAAGGCCUUUCUGGUUGUAAAGCUCUGUAAAGAGGGAAGAAUGUCAGGCGGUAACUCGUCUGAGUGACGGUACCUCUGAAGUAAGGACCGGCUAAACACGUGCCAG